rnacentral:rRNA from 1 species
CGGACCGGCGCACGGUGAGUAACGCGUAUGCAACUUGCCUAUCAGGAGGGGAUAACCCGGCGAAAGUCGGACUAAUACCGCAUGAAGCAGGGGCCCCGCAUGGGGAUAUUUGCUAAAGAUUCAUCGCUGAUAGAUAGGCAUGCGUUCCAUUAGGCAGUUGGCGGGGUAACGGCCCACCAAACCGACGAUGGAUAGGGGUUCUGAGGGGAAGGUCCCCCACAUUGGAACUGAGACACGGUCCAA